CUCCCUUUCACCAUGAGUAUUUAUGCCCCACACAAGGUCCCACAUUCUCCCUCUCUUCCAUGAAAAAAUAAAGUGGUCUCCUCCUCUUUUGGUUGCCAAAAAGAAAGGAGGGGCAUCCAAGAGUUGGAUGCCCCAUAUCCCUCUUGGACGCCCCAUAUCCCACAUAUGUCUAGGCUUCUUUCCCAACUCUUUUUGAAAGAAUUUUGUGAGACUUUUGCUACUGAUUCUUAGGUAUCAAAGAGGGCUUCUCUUGCUAGUUCUAUAGUAAAAAAUUGAAGAAGAAAAGUUCUUCCCAUCGAGAGAAGGAGAAGGAAGAAGAAGGGUUUUCUUUCUUGUGCGCAAUCUUGGUGAAGGAGUUCUUCUCUCAAUUUUUUUUUAUUUUUUUUAAGAUAAAAAUCAAAUUGAAUCUAAUUUUUAACAUGAGAAUUUAGAGAAAAAAUUUUAAAAAAAUUUGAUUAGGUGUUUGAGGCUUCCUAGAGUUCUAGAUCAAGGAGAAAAAGAGAGAAAAAGAGAAAAAUGGUUCUUCUCUUGGGUUUUUCUUUUGGAUUUUUAUAAAGCAUAAAAAUUUAUGUUAUUUUUAGUAUGAAAAAUCAGAUUAAAUUUGAUUUUUAUCAUAAAAAAUUAGAAAAAAAAAUUCUUCUUAAAGACGUGAAAGGAAGAGAAAAAGGUUCUCUCUUGUGCGUGAGAGAAUUAAGAAGAAAGGAUUCUUCUCUUGAUCUCUAUCGUAGACAUUUGAUGUAUGGAUCUAAAAAGAAAAAGAGAGUGUCUCCUUAUUCUUCAUUUUCUUUAUGUUCCUCUUAGAUCAGCCAAAGUAUAGUGUCUUCACGAGCUAGCACUCUCAGAAAGAUCAAUCAGCAUAUAGACUUUAUGUGGAUACCUAUAGAGGCCGGACAUGUGUAUGACUGUUGAGCAUCAUAAAGAAUCAACUACAAUAGAUUUUAGAUGCGGUGAUCUACUAUUCGCACUUAGGUAUGGAGUUUUGAACUCAAUUCAUAUUUAGAUAUGAUCUAAAUAUAAUUUAGAUAUCCUCUAAUUUGAUAUAAAUAUGAUCUAUACUUACUGAAUUUUAGAUUUCAGAUUUAUAUACAUAUAUAUUAGUUCAUGUCAUGGUUCCUGUAUGGUAAUUUUAGAUUUGAUCUAUACAUGCAUUAUAGAUUAAAUUAUUAAUCUAUAUAUAUUUCACUGUAAAAUUUUAAAAAUGCAUGCACAUAACCGCCAUGCUUCCUUUCAAACUCUUCCUUCCUUCUCUUUUUCACGCCAUGAAGAAAACCCUUUUUCUUCUUUCUUUGCAUGCCUCUCUGAAAUCCACGCACAAGAAGGAAGACCUUCUUUCUUUCUUCGGCCCAUAGGAAGACCUUCUUCCUCUCUCCUUUUCCUCAUGCCAAGAGCUCUCCCUUUUCUGAUUUUUCUUCAUCAGAACCAGCAGGUUUCUCACACUUAAAACUAGCAGCCCCCACAUUGAAAUGCCCCUUUAAAUAGGCAUGAACUAGGGUUGAAGAAAGUUUGGGGGGCAUCCAACUCUUAGACGCCACCUCCUAAAAUUUAUGCGUGUAAGAGAUGGGUUGGAGCAUGGAAUUAUUCAUGAUAAAACUCAGAUUAAAACUCCUCUUACAUGCCCCUAAGAACCCUUCUUAAAUUGGUGUGCAAGAGUUCUAUUAUGAUUGGGUCAAAUUGUUUAAAUGUUUGAAUCUAAUUCAAACUUUAAACUUAUCCCAAUCCAAGGGAGUGGGCGUUGGUUCCUUAUUGGUAUGAUAAUUCUUCACACAAAGCUCUUUUAGCGUGUAGAAAACAAUGGGGCAUCCUCACAUGGCAUGGGAUAUGGGGUGAGCGGCCAAGAGGAUGAGACUUCCUAGUCAAACUAGAAGAUCUUGAUUCUUGGUCAAGUCUCUAACUAAUUCUUGAUCUAAAUCUUAAUUAAUUUAAGAAUUGGUUAUAACCAAUUAAUUAAUUAGGUCCUAGUCCAGUUAGAAAUUCAAUUAGGUUUUAAUCUAAUUAAGAAAUUAAUUGAAUUAAAUCUUCAUCAAACUAGGGAUUGAUUUCUUAGAUAAUUGGGUUAUCUCAUAAUCCAAUAGGGCUUGAUCCAAUAAAAUCUAAAUCAAAUCAAAUUGAAUCUAAUUUAAUUAGAUUUAAUUCUAAUCCCAUUGUUCAAUUAAAUUGAGCCUUAUUGCAAUCUAAUUACAAAUUAAAUCCUCUAAAAAUUUACUAACCCUUAUGAAUUGAACAUUGCAACUUUUGCAUUAAAUUAAUCAUCAAUCAAAUUAAUAAUUAAAUUCUAUUACGAUUCAUAAUCACAAUUCAACCAUCUGAUCAGUCAAAAUCUUCUUUUGUGUAUUAUCCCAUAGGCUCUAUUUUGUAUGAUAGUGAGAUAUAUUGUGAUCUAUAUCACAAUAUCAUCGAAACUUCUUUCAAUAGAUUGAAAUAAUUCCAACUCUAUCCGUCAAGAAUCAUCGAUCAUCAAGAUGAUACUUGUGGAUCUCAUAAUCCAUCAGUGACAUCUAGCAGUAUGUAGUGGCAACCUAACAGAAUAAAAGUGAUGAAUAUCUAAAUGUAGUUACUGUAUGAUUCAGUCC
rnacentral:lncRNA from 1 species